GACGAACGCUGGCGGCGUGCUUAACACAUGCAAGUCGAACGGAAAGGCCCUGCUUUUGUGGGGUGCUCGAGUGGCGAACGGGUGAGUAACACGUGAGUAACCUGCCCUUGACUUUGGGAUAACUUCAGGAAACUGGGGCUAAUACCGGAUAGGAGCUCCUGCUGCAUGGUGGGGGUUGGAAAGUUUCGGCGGUUGGGGAUGGACUCGCGGCUUAUCAGCUUGUUGGUGGGGUAGUGGCUUACCAAGGCUUUGACGGGUAGCCGGCCUGAGAGGGUGACCGGCCACAUGGGGACUGAGAUACGGCCCAGACUCCUACGGGAGGCAGCAGUGGGGAAUAUUGCACAAUGGGCGGAAGCCUGAUGCAGCAACGCCGCGUGCGGGAUGACGGCCUUCGGGUUGUAAACCGCUUUCGCCUGUGACGAAGCGUGGGUGACGGUAAUGGGUAAAGAAGCACCGGCUAACUACGUG
rnacentral:rRNA from 1 species